rnacentral:rRNA from 1 species
AGUCGAACGAAUCCCAGUUUUGUAGCAAUACGGAGCUGGGGGAAGUGGCGAAAGGGGCAGUAAUGCGUGGGUAACCUACCUCCGGGACGUGGAUAGCCAUUCUAACGAGUGGGUAAUACGCGGCGAUUUGAUUGAGGGGCAUCCCUUGGUCAGGAAAUGAAUUUCGCCUGGAGAGGGGCUCACGUGAUAUUAGCUAGUUGGUAGGGUAACGGCCUACCAAGGCAAAGAUGUCUAGCGGGUGUGAGAGCACGACCCGCGCCACUGGCACUGAGACACUGGCCAGACACCUACGGGUGGCUGCAGUCGAGGAUCUUUGGCAAUGAGCGCAAGCUUGACCAAGCGACGCCGCGUGUGCGAUGAAGGCCUUCGGGUUGUAAAGCACUGUCGAGGGGGACGAAGCCGCAAGGUUGACCGAUCCCUGGAGGAAGCACGGGCUAAGUUCGUGCCAGCAGCCGCGGUAAGACGAACCGUGCGAACGUUGUUCGGAAUCACUGGGCUUAAAGGGCGCGUAGGCGGCUUGCCAAGUCAGUGGUGAAAUCCUGCAGCUUAACUGCAGAAGUGCCUUUGAUACUGGCGAGCUCGAGGGAGGUAGGGGUAUGUGGAACUUCUGGUGGAGCGGUGAAAUGCUUUGAUAUCAGAAGGAACGCCGGUGGCGAAAGCGACGUACUGGACCUUUUCUGACGCUGAGGCGCGAAAGCUAGGGGAGCAAACGGGAUUAGAUACCCCGGUAGUCCUAGCCCUAAACGAUGGGUACUAGGUUGUGGACUAACAUG